GACAGAGGUGCCGAGCGUUAGGCGGAAUCACUGGGCUUAAAGCGUGUGUAGGCGGGCGGCAAGUACCUUGUGAAAUCCCACGGCUCAACCGUGGAACUGCUGGGUAUACUGCUGUCUUGAGCCAGCAGGGCGGAGUCGGAACAGACGGUGGAGCGGUGAAAUGCGUAGAUAUCGUCUGGAACGCCAAGGUAGAAAACAGACUGCUGGGGCUGAUGCUGACGCUGAGACACGAAAGCCAGGGGAGCGAACGGG
rnacentral:rRNA from 1 species